UGAAAUAUAGCUCAGUGGUAGAGCACUUGCCUAUUAGCUGAAAAGCCUUGGGUUUAAUCUCCAGUAUUGCAA
rnacentral:tRNA from 1 species